GUAGCCACCCUUACACCGACGACACCUCCACCAGUGGCACAGUGAAGAUACCAGGUGCAGAAGGACUCAGGGUGGAAUUUGACCGGCAGUGCUCCUCAGAGUGGCACCACGACCCUCUCACAAUCAUGGAUGGCGUCAACAGGAUCGUCUCCGUGUGGUCAGACCGAGGGUGGUCCGACUGGUCCAGCUAGCUACGUAUCCCGGGGGAUGAGUUAAAAUGGAAGUUCAUCAGCGACGGGCCUGUGAACGGCUGGGGCUGGUGCUUCACCAUCUAUCCCAUCAUGCCAGCUGCUGGUGCCCUAAAGAACUCCUCUCUGACUGCUGCGUCCUCUCUUGUCCAUCCACGGACUUGGUGACGUGUCUGUUAGACUUCCGACUCAACCUUGCCUCUAACAGAAGUGUCGUCCCUUGCCUUGUGGCCUUGCUGGCAGCUUGUGCACAGCUGA
rnacentral:lncRNA from 1 species